rnacentral:lncRNA from 1 species
CCGCCUCCGCAGUGAGCGUCGCGACGCCUGACGAGUGCCGUUAGCCGCGAUCGCACGAUCUUCGAUCCCGGGCACGAGGCCUAGAAAAUCGGAACGCGCGUGCUGCCCGAAGCGCAGAGAUCAUCCGUACGAGUGCCGGGGUGAAAGAAAUUCGGCGAUACAAAUUCGUCCGUAUAAUUUCAAUCUCGUGAUUUUAAAAUACGGACAACGCUCUGCGCGUUCUCGAUCGCUCAGAGAAUUGCUGUCGUAAUUGUUAUCGCUGUUGUUGUUGUUAUUAUUAUUAUUAUUGUCGUUUUAACGAGUAAUCGAGAUUGUGUUUGAUAAUAUACAUACGUAGUUCUGGGUAUAUACGAUUAUAAACGUAUGAAAACGAAAGAAGAAGAAGAAAGAAGACAAGAAAAUAACGAAUGUUUCGAUACUCGCGCCAAAAUUGAGGUGGUGAUCCGUUUUCGAUACAAGAACUGCUCGCUGAUCGACGAACUGCCAGAGUUUCGAAAAAGAAGCUGAGCGUUCCCGAUGGCCAAGUUUUUCCAAACUAUCAGCUGGCUCGUCAUCGUAAAGAGUCUUGAAGAUAUACGGGAACGCCGUUAACGUCAUACCGACUAUAAAAUUUAUCCGAUGCAGGAUAAGGAGCUGACGCAAACGUAUCGGCUGAAAAACCUCGCCGGGAAUCCGGUGCUGCAAUCCUUAACGACAGACCCAUCGAACCGGUGCUGAUUCCGCACCUCGACGAUCAGCGGAAAUACGACGUCGCUACUUCAAAAAUGGACGGAUGUGGCGCGUCGAGCUGCCGCUGCGGGCUGCUUCCGGUUCUGCGGGGAAGAAGCUUGGAUCGAAUCUCCGCAAGCGCUGAUUAAUCAGCGUCCUUUCCUCUCGUUCCUCCGAAAUACGGCGAAUCGGAAUCGGUGGAUUUUAACGGACAAUGCAAAGCCCGGAAUUAACAGAGAAAAAGUUUUUCAGGGUAAAACCUUUCCUUGUCACCGAACGGGCGGAGUAAUCGCUGUGAUAUAUGGCUCUUCCAUUCCUGCCGGUUAACGAGUCCCGCAAAGAAUGAUGCCGAGGCGAUUCACAAUCGUGUGAAUGAACACAUCUGGCCGAAUCGAACGACGACUUUUCCUACUUCAGGUGAACACUGGCUUCGCACCACCCGGACGAUACUUUCGACUUUUUUUUCCUUCUUCCAAGAUGAAUUACGAAGACGAUAUACGAGGAGGGCGGAGUGUGAAUGCGAGGGAAAGAUGAAGAAUCGAGGGGAUCAGGCUGCGGUUGACUCUCUCGUCGGUGCCUGCAAGUGAUUUUCACAAACGGCGAAAACGUUCUCCGGUUGGUGAAUCUGGCGACCUAGCCGGAGUCAUCGGAAUGUCGUUCGAUGAGUUUUGGAAUGGACUGGAAUUGAAGCGUUCUCGAAGAAUUUUGCCCGGCAGAGCGAGAAUUAUUCGUGCCGAAAGAAUUAGAAACUCUCGACGGUCCAAGAAAAACGCGGUGGCCUUACGUCUUUGUCACGUUGUUUCUAAUACCGUGGAGUAAUCGAAUCCUAACGAUGCAGUUGCAUCAAUACGCAUACAGUGACGUGAGACUAUCGGAAAAACUGAAUUCUCUAAUGCGACGAUUUUUCUAGGGCGACAAUAAAAACUCACCGUGUAAAAAGAUGCGAUAAAAUAGCACCAUACGUACUUUACUCUUUCUGUAGGUAACGAACGAAGCUCUGUAAUGGAUUCGACGUAUCCAACUAUCGUCAAUUGUAUUCCAGCGAUAACUGCAAGGAGCUUUGUCCGAAACGUUGAUAUGCACUGAGAACCAACAUCUGACACGCGAUAAUAUUGAUGGGUGGGUGUAUUUACGAGAACGAAGGAAAUGCGCUUUGCAUGUUCAGAGUUCUGAGAAAAGAACACUGCACUGUCUCUCGUCAAGCUUGGCAUCGAUAUCCCCUAAUGAUUAAUCAUCCCCCAUAGGUAGAAAUACAUUGCAAUAAAAAUCGCCCUGAUACAUUCAUCCCAAGAAAUCGAAUGAAUUCACCUACUGAACGAGAAUAAAAUGUAAGAAAUAGAAAUCGUCUCUCUUGGUAUCGUCUUUCUUUUUCACGAUCAAUAAUUACGUACAUAAUAUGUAAUAAUGUAAUCGCCGAUGCGGCAAUUCUCCCUCUUGGGGUAGUAAAUGUGUGAAAACGUUGGCGAAUAUGGUAUUUAACAUUGUUCAAUGUGACAGGAAAUUUAAUUUUAUUGUCAGCUGCGAGCAAUUUAUGAGUUGCGAGUGAUUGGCAAUUAUGAAAUGUGGUACGAUUUGAAAAUUUAUAUCCAAAAUAGCGAAGUCUUGCAGGAACACCGGGCAAUUUAAAUAUCACUAUCGCAAUGAGGAGCGUCAGAAUCUCUUUUGUUUUUAUUAGUACUCGUAAAACACGUAAUGAAAUUAAACCAUCGUUACAAAGAUCAAAAAUUUUAUUUUCCCUGUUGAAAAAAUUGAUCGUUGUAAAGAAAAUGGAGAAAAACAGAAACCGGACUUCGAUCAAGUCCGGAAUGUUUGCGGAAAUCUUUGUGAUCACGGCGAUACUGCGGAAACGAAAAAUAAAAAUUUUUUUUUUUCUAAAUUAGUGAACCGAUCGUCUGAUUCACGGGUUAUUGUAUCGUGCCGGUUGUCGAGUUGAUCUGACGACGAAGCUGAAUAACGCAUGAAGUGUUAUACCAUGUGCAAUUGAACAGUGAAUAAAAUAAACAUAUACAUGUAUAAUAUAUGCCAUAACUUUGUCUAUUCAUGUAUAAUUAGCGAGUAACUUUUUACAUUAUAAUUGUUAUACCGAACACAUCAUGUAUAUUGAAGUAUCGAGGAUAUAAUCUAUAUUCAUAUGUAUUGGUAUGUAGAUUGAAGUUCGAAGAAAAGAGAGAUUCAACUAUGUAUACAUACAUAUUGUAUGUAUAUGUAUAUUAAAGGGACAGAGGAGAUGGUAUCGUUUUGUAAAUAUGCUAAACACGCGACAAGCUGAAUAUUUAUAAUAACUUACACAUGAUACAUUUAUUACGUUCGUGAAUUGAUUAUACCUACCGCAUGACAAAAUAUACCGCAUAGCUGCCGCAGUGACAGAGUUAAAUACGCAUUGCACAAUAGUAUCGUUAAUACAAGUUUAUAUUGUCGUUGUGCAGAAAGGAGAUAUUACUUUGAAUGUCGAUUAAUUCUAAGUUGAACAACGACCGUAUAAUCGCCGCAGGUAUACGUAUACAGCUGAUCCAUACAUAAAGAAUUGAGUCAAAUAACUUGGAUAAAAUGAAACCCGUUGUUUUCGAUUAAUGAUUGUUAUUAGUCGCGGAUCAAUGAAUAAAUUUUCUAAAUUGUAUAAGAACGCGAUGGAGAAUAAUUGAUUGGUGAAAAUAAAAAUAAAAAACUUGUGCAUCUGAGGGAAGAUAAGGAUAAGAAAUUGAACAAGUAUAAAUAGACAAAUAAAUAGAGGAAUAGAUGAUUAAAAAAAAAAAAAAAAGCGCGCAAGACAGGGUAGAUAUUAAAUACAUUAUAGGGACCACCGCUGUGAUCCAAGGACCGCACGGACGCAGACUGCGAGUAUAUUUCAUGAAUAUUUCAGCGGCUAGCGUUAGCAAUAAAUACGAAGCUGCGGUAUUAUAUUCCUGAGAUAGCCCUCUGCCUACAUGGUGCUAUCCGUAGCCAGAGCCAGAGCCAGAGGCCGACGUCGACGUCGACGCGGAAUACUAAUUGACGCAACGACCGCAAACAGACCCACACAAUAUGUCCCGCUUUUACUGCUCCAUGCAUGACCCUCGGUAUUUUUCAUUAAUUCAGCUGAUAUAAUGCCUGCGCCGUUGUGGAAACUGCAGAGCAGAUACGUACGAAAAAUCGUUCUCUGUAUCGCGAAAUAUCGUGGAUGUAUAUAUUUUUUUUUUUCCAUCACCGUAAAGUUGCGGAUGCAUGAUUUGAUUUUUGACGAGUGCGGGAAGACGCGAAGAUCAGCCAAGAAUUUCGUUGCUCUUCGUUCAAAAUGACAGAGAACGAUCAGUUUUUUUUUGCCUGUAAUUUGAUUCAAAUUCAUCGAAAUAUAUACAAUAUUUGCUCUUGCAAUUAUAUUUAUCUCGCAAUGCUCUGCAUUUUCGGACAUUUUUUUUAAAACGAUUCCGCAGUCUAUCAGGACGGUAAAACUUGAUCUGAAGGUAAAAGAGGACGUCCUUUUUUUAAUUUGUUUUUUUUUUUUUUGUUCUAUUUUUUAUCUACCUCCCAACGACAAUUAAUCCGUAACGGAUUUUAUGCCGCGCGCGAGAUUGUGUCUAAAAACUACAAGGCUCCAUUGGAUGUGAUAAAAUAAAAAUAAAAGUGAAGAUGUAAAGAGAGAAAGAGAAAGAGCGAGUGAGAGAGUAAAAAAUAGAAAGAGAAUAAAACAAACGAUAUGACGUUGAAAGCCUUUUACAAAAUGGACAAAAGCGCGGGAGAAAUUUGGUUCGUACGAAUUAUAAUGCACUACUCUUCGUUGUGUCAAUGUAACGUCUGAUAUAAUUUUCUCAGGAAACAAAACGUAGUUUAUUUUCAACUGCACGUUAAUCGCUUGAAACACUUUGAAUAAAAUGAGAACGAAAUGAUAUCUGUAAUUGCGAACGAAAUUUUCGUACGACAAUUGAAGGGGAAUUAAAUUUUUUUCACAAAUAGUAAACUGUCUGUGUCUUAUAUGUAUUAAACUAAUUUAACAUUUCGAACGGUUAAUUUUUACCCUAUGAAUUGAAAAAGCCAUGAAAGAGGGAAUCCGAAGCAGCGAAACUCAAUUUUCGUUUCUUUGACGAUUAUACGUCUCGAAUGCGGUAAAUAAUUUCAAGAGCCGUCAGGUAAAUCCACUGCGAAUGCGGCUGAUAUUCAUACCUUACGAAUGUGUGGGAGGAAAAGAAAGAACAAACGCCUUUGGUCGCCGAAGUUAUUUUUUUACUUUACUUUUGUUCAUUCUUAUUCCUGCCAACUCCACAGAUUUGGGAAUCUGGAUGGACGGCGAGUGCGACGGAAGCGUGGGAGUGGAGUAAUUAUAAAAAUCCUCCCGAGACGCGGGGGUUGAAAUUGAUCCGACAUCCGUGAUCAGCCUGGGAAACUGAAACUUAAAAGAUUGGAGUUCAUCGCACCUGUAAAUCCCGUUCAUUAGUAUCCCCGUAAAGCCAGCUACUCUAACGAUAAGUCGCUUAGCGGGCGACUGAACCAGCGAUAUAAAAGAGAGCGAACGCGAUCGGGCUAAUUAAUUAAUCGCGAGAUUAUGCAAGAUGCUCGGCGAAGCUCGUCGUUGUAAUUUAUCACUUUGCAUGGAUGUAAUUACUCCCUCGUAAUUACCCACGUUUCAAACCACGCGUGCAGGGUUUCGCACGACAUUCCGUUUCGCGAACUGUCCGCGUACUUGCAGAGAUAUUGACUGAACAAAUGCGAUUCGCGUUGGGUGCGAAAGGGUCGAUUCUAGCGGAAUGACGCUAAUAGCCGGGGCCUAAAAUUGUCCACGUCGCGUCGAAGCGGCAACGACGAAAGCAGCGAAUCGGAGUCCGAAUUACCCGCGCGAUAAUUUGGAGGACUGAACGAACGGCGAUGUUACACCGAAAUAUAACGGAAUCGUUGUAACAUCUAACUGCAAUAUCAUCGCAGUCAGGUGAAAUCUCUUGAGUGAGCUUAUGUAUCUUGUAAGCUAUGAUGGGAGUGAAUCCUCGAAUAAAACGAAAAUUUCAACA